rnacentral:misc_RNA from 1 species
UGAAGGCGCAACGUUGACAAAGAUCAAUUUCCGGUAUAAAAACAUAACAAUAUAUUGUGGGAAAGCUCUAUCGAGUCGCGCAGUAUGAAAAUGGAUGAUCCUGCAGCAGUUAAGAGAAUGACAGAAAUAAUUAGAAAGAAAAAACGCCUUUAUGAAUUGAAAAAGCGUUCAAAGUUACCGCGGCCUGUUAGAGGCUAUGAACAAACAAUUGAUGAGGACGAUGAUGAAGAGGAGGAAGACGACUACACUGAGGAGAUUUUUGGUAGCUAUUACGAGGAUAAUGAGGAAAUGAAAAACGGAAACGAACAAACAUCAUUCAGAAGAGGUCAUCUGGCUACAUUCUUUAGAAAUGGAGAUUGUAAUUACAAAGGUCUAACUACUGCCGUCAGCACCAAACAUUUUAAUAAUUUAGAAACUUUAUUGGUAUGGCUAAAUGAUAAAAUACCAACUACAGCUGGUGUUCGAUAUAUAUUUUCAUUACCAAAUGCUAAAUUAGUAAGAGACAUUAGUGAUUUUACAAGAGGAGGAGCAUUCGUUGUAUCGAGUGUAAGGAAGUUUAUUGGUAAAGAUAAUACGACAUUUUUAUUUCUAUAAAAAAUAACUCUUAUCUGUUAAUGAACUAUUUUUUUUAGAUGUUGAUUAUGGAUUUUCAAAGGAAGGACACUGGAAUAAUAGACGGCCAACACCUGCAAAAUUUCGAAAGGGCGAACAAAACCUAUUGGAUUAUGGAUCCAUACAAACUAGUCAGGCGUCGUCAAGAGCGAAUUCGAUUCGUAGUGUUAAUUCGACACCUCGGGAGCUAGUUAUUAUUAGCAACACGAAAAGGUCAUCUAGACAAACUGUUCUAUUAAAUCCAAAGACUAUUCAAGACUUUAAUGAACUAUUGUCUGAUUUGGGGAGUAUGGUAGAUUUAACUUAUCCCCCAGCAAUUGCCUUGUAUACGGCUGAACCGCCUUAUAGGAAUGUCGAAAGCUAUUCUCAAUUGUUGAGAGACCUUAAGCAUAAUACAGCGUUUAUUGUUUGUGGAAGUGAAGGUAUACCGAAAGAGAUUAGUCAAAUUGAACAUGACGCAUCUCGGAUGGUUCCUAAGCAGUCCUACCUUCAGCAGUUCAGAGCCAACAAACAAAAACACAUGUCACCGCCCAUUGACCGUUGGGAGGAUGUAGAAAUGUCAAUGACUGAAGUGACACCACAACCCUACAAUUAUGAAUAUGAAACUAUUAGAGCGGAAAUAAAUGGCGAAGAGCGGGAAUUCUAUUGCCCAAAACGUCUAAAAGACAAACAGGACCUGUCUAAACCUGCUAAGAGACUAAAACUUGAUUGGGUUUAUGGUCUAAAUGCUUUUUCAAGAAACCCACUUCAUGUCCUUUCGACAGGAGAAUUAGUCUAUUAUGUCUCAAAUAUUGCUGUAGUUUACGAUAAAAAGAAAGAUACCCAACGAUUUUUUACCGCACAUACAUCCCCAAUAUGCUGUAUAGCCUUGCAUCCAGAUAAUUUACAACCUUACAUUGCUUCCGGUCAAUCAUUAGAGCCAUUAGUUCGGAUAUGGGAUGCUAGAUCUAUGGCUACCUACAGCGUUGUCGGCGAGGGUAUUCUCCAGGGCAACGUAACAAGCCUCCAAUUAUCGUCAUCCGGUUUACUUCUAAUAGUCGAUUCUUCUGACAAACAUACUCUAUUGAUUUGGGAUUGGCAGAACAAUGAAUUGCUCGUUAGGACGAUGAUAUCGGGAGAGAUUGCGGCUGUAUCAGCUAUUUUUCACCCUCACGAUCCCAGCCUCGUUGUUACAUAUGGACGUCAACAUGUUCACUUUUGGAAAUUAUUCUCUGACGAAGAAAAUACAUAUCGACUGCUUAGAGAUAAGGAAAGUGGUAUAUUUAGUAAUGAAUUUGCUUCGCCUCCUUCCAAUGUUACGGCUAUCUCGUUUUCUCCUAAUGGAGAAGUAAUUACUGCUGAUUCCGAAGGUCGUUUAUUGAUUUGGAGUAAGAAUGAUUCAGAUGUCUAUUCGAUUAAUGAGGAAAUUAGUAAAGAUUUACUAAGAGCUCAUUCCCCAAAGCCAAUUACGGCCUUAUUUAUGUCUGCUGAUGGAACACUCCUAUCGAGCGCAGGAAAUGAGAUCAGAGCUUGGGAUUCGUCGGCUGGUUAUAAUAUGGUCAAAGAACGACUAAUACCCGAAGCAGCGGGGCCUAUUAGAAGUAUAGUUACAAGAGUACAAGGAUCAAUGGACGGUGCAAUAUUUGUGGUUACUGCUAAAUCGUGUCUUCUUGAAGGAUCUCUUCAAGAUAAACUUUCCUUUGUUUUACACGGACACCACAAUCCGGUUACAUCUAUAGUGUCAAGCCCCUCAGAGUUAUCUUUCUUUACCGCUGGUCAAGAUUCUUUUAUUUGCAAAUGGUCUGCUGAUGAUAAAAAAAUGAUAUGGAAAGUCCAUGUUGAGUUUCCUUGCUCCUCCUUGGCAAUCGAUCCAACUGGCCGAGUGUUAUCCGUAGGAACGGGGCAAGGCCGGUUAAUAAUAUUAAGUACCGAUUCUGGUGAACAUUUAUCCUCCUUUCAAGUGUCGCAUGAUCAUCUUGAUUCCAUGGCUUUUUCACCGGAUGGAAAUCGUUUGGCUUUAGCUUGCCAUAAUGCAAGUGUAUAUGUAUUCGACGUUUUAGACGAUGCAGUCGUUUAUAGAAGGAGGGCUAGAAAGGGAAUUCUAGACGGCCAUGAGGCGGCCGUGUUUAAUUUAGAUUGGUCAACAAAUAGUAGAUAUAUUCAAACAGAAUCUAAGGACUUUGAAGUUAUAUUUUGGGAUACUGAUCAAAUGCUCUCGGUAGAUCCCCAAUCUAUAGUUGAGAAUGAAUGGGUGAAGCACAGGUGUACAAUAGGCGCAAGAGUCAUAGGAGCUUGGAAAAAGCUCAUGCCUGAUGUUAAUGUUAGCGCAGCUAACACGAGCAAUGAUAAGAAGCUACUUAUAACUGGAAAUUCUGACGGUUCAUUGCGAUUAUACAAAUAUCCGUGCUCAUCUAAAAAAGCGAAUUUUGACGAAAGGAGACCCUAUUCAGAGUCAAUAAGGGCUAUAGAAUUUUCUUCCAACGACCAAUACGUAUUUACCAUUGGAGGCCGUGAUUGUGGUACUCUUCAAUGGGUUCUAUCAGAUAGUCUUGAAUAUACAUAAUACUUUCUUCCCUUUUUGCUAUUAGUUUCAAAUUAAGUAAUUUAUGAUAAAAAAUUGUUCAUAAACUAAAUAAAAAAAUAGUAACAAACUGAAAAAUUCAUUUAUUUACCAUUAUACAGCAGUGUGUAUAUUUUGCUUUAAAUGGAAGAAUAGAAAUCGUUUCCACUAUGUUCUCUUUUUUAAAGCAUUCAUUAAAGAAUUAAUACUGAGAUGUAUGCAAAGAACAAUUGAUAGUUUUUAUCAAUUAAAAAUUUUCAAGUAAAAAAAUAAACACUGAGAGCUUAAAGAUUAUCAAACAUGACUUCAUGCUCUUCUUUUGAAGUAGAAGCAUGAUUCAUACUUUCCUCCUCUACCCUAUAAACUACUGGAGUAUCUUGUACGUUAUCCCGAUCGAAUACAUGAAUAACGCUUCCUUCGGGAACGCAUGUAAGUGGUGCAACAACUGAAUCGAGAUCCUUUACAGUCGUUUUCGUAAUAUUGUCCUUCGCGACCAAUUCAGAUAUUUUUGGUCUUGGAUUUGGAGCUUUUCCAAUACGAUGUAUUCUAAAUUCAUGUUCUUUCAAUUUAUCUGCUCUUGUACAAGAGAAAUCGCAGUCUUUAAUCGAGCAAAAAUAGGGUCUUUCGUUUGUAUGCACGUACAUGUGUCGCUUGAGAUUCUUUUGUAAGGAAAACGAUUGUCCACAACUAUCACAAAUGUAUGGCUUUUCUUUUGAGUGGGUUUUCAUGUGUCCACUUAAAUUUUGUUUUUUUAUUGUCUGAAAAUUACAAUCUUGAACUGGACACCUUAAUGUUUUACCAGAAUGAACUAGACAGUGAGCUCUUAGUUGGGCGGGAUAAGCUGUUGCGUAGCCGCAAACAUCGCAUAAAUGAGGUUUGUCACCGCUAUGAACUUUAUAGUGAACUUUUAGCUGAUGCUUCCACUUAAAUGCUGAAUUGCAAAUUUCACAGGCGAAUGGGCGAUUAGAUGAGUGUUUAGGCAAGUGCAAUUGUAAUCGUCUAAUUGUAGGGAAACAAGUAGAACAUUCGCGGCACUGGAAUCUAUCAGGGCCUUUAUGAUUGUCUGCUAAAUGUUGUUUUACUUCAUCAACAGAUGAAAAGUCAGCGAAGCAAAAUGGGCACUUAUUUGUGUCGAUAAUAUGAAGCCGCAUAUGCUCAUCCAUAUCAUAUCUUUUCUCGCACACAAAUGAGCAUUCUUCGCAUUGAUAUUUGAUUUUUCUUAAUGAUGGAUCGUCAAUCUCUUCAAUACUGAUUUCUGCUGCCUCACUUCUAUAUCUUAGGACGGGUUCUUCUUUAAUAUUAACUUCUUCUUCACUACUUGAUUUCAUAGUUGGUUUAUGGCGUCUAGAGCUUCUUCUUGUGCCAAUUUGAUCGCAGUCGAUGCGAUUAUCGUUUAUUUUAAAAUCUUUAUCUGAUUCAUCGUCUCGACCUACUCCAAGUUUUGGAUUUACUUCCUCUCCUUUCCUUGGCCUGCCUCUCUUUCUUCUUGCUGGUACAACUCCCAACUCAACAACAGACUUUAAAGGCAAACCGUUUUCAUCAUUUGUAUCAGUUGCAGCAUCAACCGUUUUUGUGAUAGUAUCAAAAAGAUUGUUUCCCUUACAAAUACAUCUUUGAGGAUGUUGCUCAUUAGAUUCAAAGCUCCUACAAAAGUCUACAAUAUGUUUCAAUUCGAGAAUUCCAGCUAACUCUGAAACGAUUCCAACAUUUUUUGAACUAAUCAGUAAUUGACCUCUAUAUAAAAAUUCUACUAAUGAUGCAAGACCCUCCUCAUACUGUAGAGACUUUUCUACGUCCCAAGAAUCUGAAUGAAUUUGUAAAAUUUGCGGGCUCGAGGGAGCGAAUAGUGAGAGAUCAGCCUCAGAAAAGAAAUCUUUAAAGUAGAUGCAAGUAGCUGCCAGUAGAUUGCCAUGAGCGCUUUCAGUAUGAUUAAAGACUUUGAUAAUAACAUCACAGAAAUUAUUAUUUUGUUUUUGCUUCCAUAGAUUAUUGAAAAUUACAUUUUCUGCAUAGGAUAAAUCGACCAAGAAAGACUCCCUGUUGUCCGCCAUCUUUGUUAUCAGUACACAUUACUA